GGGUAGUCCCAGCCGUAAACGAUGCUCGCUAUGUGUCAGGUACGGUGCGACCGUAUCUGGUGCCGUAGGGAAGCCGUGAAGCGAGCCACCUGGGAAGUACGGCCGCAAGGCUGAAACUUAAAGGAAUUGGCGGGGGAGCACUACAACGGGUGGAGCCUGCGGUUUAAUUGGAUUCAACGCCGGAAAUCUUACCGGGUGAGACAGCAACAUGAAGGUCAGGCUGAAGACCUUACCGGAUUCGCUGAGAGGAAGUGCAUGGCCGUCGUCAGUUCGUACUGUGAAGCAUCCUGUUAAGUCAGGCAACGAGCGAGACCCGUGCCCACAGUUGCCAGCAUACCCUCCGGGGUGAUGGGUACUUUGUGGGGACCGCCGCUGCUAAAGCGGAGGAAGGAGCGGGUUACGGUAGGUCAGUAUGCUCCGGAACUCCCGGGCUACACGCGGGCUACAAUGGGUCGGGGGACAAUGGGGAAUCGACACUGAAAAGUGAAGGUAAUCUCCUAAACCCGAUCGAAGUUCGGAUUGAGGGCUGCAACUCGCC
rnacentral:rRNA from 1 species